rnacentral:rRNA from 1 species
GUAGCGGCGAGUGAAGCGGCAAAAGCUCAAAUUUGAAAUCUGGCACUUUCAGUGUCCGAGUUGUAAUUUGAAGAAGGUAUCUUUGGGUCUGGCUCUGUCUAUGUUUCUUGGAACAGAACGUCACAGAGGGUGAGAAUCCCGUGCGAUGAGAUGUCCCAGACCUAUGUAAAGUUCCUUCGAAGAGUCGAGUUGUUUGGGAAUGCAGCUCUAAGUGGGUGGUAAAUUCCAUCUAAAGCUAAAUAUUGGCGAGAGACCGAUAGCGAACAAGUACAGUGAUGGAAAGAUGAAAAGAACUUUGAAAAGAGAGUGAAAAAGUACGUGAAAUUGUUGAAAGGGAAGGGCUUGAGAUCAGACUUGGUAUUUUGUAUGUUACUCUCUCGGGGGUGGCCUCUACAGUUUACCGGGCCAGCAUCAGUUUGAGCGGUAGGAUAAGUGCAAAGAAAUGUGGCACUGCUUCGGUAGUGUGUUAUAGUCUUUGUCGAUACUGCCAGCUUAGACUGAGGACUGCGGCUUCGGCCUAGGAUGUUGGCAUAAUGAUCUUAAGUCGCCCGUCUUGAAACACGGACCAAGGAGUCUAACGUCUAUGCGAGUGUUUGGGUGUAAAACCCGUACGCGUAAUGAAAGUGAACGUAGGUAGGACCUCCUUUAGGAGUGCACUAUCGACCGAUCCUGAUGUCUUCGGAUGGAUUUGAGUAAGAGCAUAGCUGUUGGGACCCGAAAGAUGGUGAACUAUGCCUGAAUAGGGUGAAGCCAGAGGAAACUCUGGUGGAGGCUCGUAGCGGUUCUGACGUGCAAAUCGAUCGUCGAAUUUGGGUAUAGGGGCGAAAGA